rnacentral:rRNA from 1 species
UACGUAGGGUGCGAGCGUUGUCCGGAAUUAUUGGGCGUAAAGAGCUCGUAGGCGGUGUGUCACGUCGGCCGUGAAAACCUGCAGCUUAACUGUGGGCGUGCGGGCGAUACGGGCAGACUGGAGUACUGCAAGGGAGACUGGAAUUCCUGGUGUAGCGGUGGAAUGCGCAGAUAUCAGGAGGAACACCGGUGGCGAAGGCGGGUCUCUGGGCAGUAACUGACGCUGAGGAGCGAAAGCGUGGGGAGCGAACAGG